rnacentral:pre_miRNA from 1 species
ACUAAGCUAGCACCAGCCGAAACGUCUGUCGUUGUAGUGUAUAGAUGGCUGGAAGAGGAAUAUACACUACAACGACAGACGUUUCGGCUGGUGCUAGCUUAGUCUUA